UAUGCAGGAUAUGCAGAGUGAAGAGUUAUUAACCCUGGAAUCUGAAUUCCCAUCUUGGAUUUCUCUCUCAGCCUGGGUAGUGGACCUAGCAGUCUAUUCUUUAUAAAAGUUUAAGUUUUUUCACGAAAAUAGCUCAAAAACCAUGAGUUGAAUACAUGACCAAUUAAAAAAAAUAUCGUCAUAACGUUUUGCCUGGCAUAUGCAAUAUCUAUAAUAUUUAAUUUCUGUCUUUCUGUUUGUUUUUUGUUUGUGUGUCUAAUCAUAACUCUUGAACCCCUUGACCGAUUUGCUUCAAAUAUUUAUUGGGAAACAUGGUAGGACCACGGAAAUGUGCUUAGUUUGGUUUUGAGAUUUUAAAGGGAUCAUAAUUUAAGAUCAAGCGGUCAAACUGCGGGAGUAACUAUAGAGUACCCUGGGCGACGCUGGAUUCUCAAGUUAGUUUCUAAAGAAAAGAUUUCUACUGGGAAAUUAUUGGUUCACAGAACUUCGAAGACUUCGAUAGAAUUACUGGGUUAAACUGUAGCAAAGACGACUUUUCCUCAUUUUAAUGUCAUUUAAACGAAUUUUCUCAAAUUUGUAAUAGCAUAAUAAAAAAUUUAGUAAAGAUAAUGUAAUACAAAGUUAUUUUGAAAUACAGGGUGUCCCUACAAA